GAACCAAUCACCAAUGAGCAAAGUGAAAUCACCAGCAGGGUUUGGAUAAGGGAUUGGGAUGACAGAUCUGUGAUAGAUAUUGAGUCCUCCAAAUCCUCCAGCGGCUUUGUGAAAUGCAGUUGAUGGAAAGUAGGAAAAGGCAUUGGUGAAGAUGAUGGCUGUUUGAUGUACCUAUCAUCGAAUUACUGCAAGUGCCUAUAAUCUUUUAGAUGUGGUUCUUUACCAAGCAAGUUAUGGCCACAAUAUAUCAGCAAAAGGCGGUUGAUAUAAAUGAGAGGGAGCUUGGGCUUGAUCAUCCUGACACAAUAAAAAGCUAUGGGGACCUUUCUGUCUUUUACUAUUGUAUGCAAUAAUACGAGCUUGCUUUGAAGUAGGUUACAAUGACUCUCCUCUUCAAAAUAGUUUAGAUGCCUAUGCCAUGAAGAAUUUCUGUUGAUUGUUGUAUUCAGGGCACCAAAAAACUGUGACUCUUUUAAUGCAGUGUGUCAGAUCUUCUGGAUUUUAUAAGUCCCGAGCUUGAUUCUAAUGGAAAUGAACAAGCUCAGAGAAAACAGCAGCGUGGGAAGGUUCUCUGCCAAAUUUUUACAUGGUGUUAC